rnacentral:RNase_P_RNA from 1 species
GGAGCCGGCCAAGACAGUCGCGUCGCAGCAAUGCGCCGAGGAAAGUCCGGGCUCCACAGAGCAGGGUGCCAGGUAACGCCUGGGCGGCGUGAGCCGACGGAAAGUGCAACAGAAAACAAACCGCCGAACGGCCCGCAAGGGUGCGUGGUAAGGGCGAAACGGUGGGGUAAGAGCCCACCGCGGACCUGGCAACAGGGACGGCACGGCAAGCCCCACCCGGAGCAAUGCCGAAUAGGGGCCUCGCGUGGAAAGGUCCGACGUUCAGCCGUGAGGCUGUCGGAGACCUCCACAUGGGACACUUCAGCCCAAGAGUGCCCGGGUUGGCAGCUAGAUCCUGUCGGUAACGGCAGGGGCAGAGGAAUGGUCAUCCAGAGGAGGCAACUCCUUGGACAAAAUCCGGCUUACAGGCCGUCCGCGCAA